rfam:Triticum aestivum genome assembly, contig: Triticum_aestivum_CS42_TGACv1_scaffold_210586_3AS
AUUAUACUCCCUUCGUCCGGAAAUACUUGUCAUCAAAAUGGAUAAAAGGGGGUGUACCUAGACUUAUUUUAGUUUCUAGGUGCAUCUCUUUUUUUCCAUUUUGAUGACAAGUAUUUCCGGACGGAGGGAGUAUUUU